GUGUGAAUACAUAGCACGGCGUGAGGCAAACCCGGGGAACUGAAACAUCUAAGUACCCGGAGGAAGAGAAAGAAAAUUCGAUUCCCUGAGUAGCGGCGAGCGAAACGGGAACAGCCCAAACCAGGAAGCAUGCUUCCUGGGGUUGUAGGACACUCUAUACGGAGUUACAAAGGGAUAGGAUAGGUGAACGACCUGGAAAGGUCGGCCAGAGAAGGUGACGGCCCUGUAGCCGAAAUCGUAUCCCCUCCAGAGUGGAUCCUGAGUACGGCGGGACACGUGAAACCCCGUCGGAAUCCGGGAGGACCAUCUCCCAAGGCUAAAUACUUCCUAGUGACCGAUAGUGAACCAGUACCGUGAGGGAAAGGUGAAAAGCACCCCGGAAGGGGAGUGAAACAGAUCCUGAAACCGUAUGCCUACAAGUAGUCAGAGCCCGUUAACGGGUGAUGGCGUGCCUUUUGUAGAAUGAACCGGCGAGUUACGAUGGCGGGCGAGGUUAAGCCGAUGAGGCGGAGCCGCAGCGAAAGCGAGUCUGAAUAGGGCGCAUCAGUCCGUCGUCGUAGACCCGAAACCAGGUGAUCUACCCAUGUCCAGGAUGAAGGUCAGGUAACACUGACUGGAGGUCCGAACCCACGCACGUUGAAAAGUGCGGGGAUGAGGUGUGGGUAGCGGUGAAAUGCCAAUCGAACCUGGAGAUAGCUGGUUCUCCCCGAAAUAGCUUUAGGGCUAGCCUCGAGGUGAAGAGUUCCGGAGGUAGAGCACUGAUUGGACUAGGGGCCCCCACAGGGUUACCGAAUUCAGUCAAACUCCGAAUGCCGGCAACUUGUACUCGGGAGUCAGACUGCGAGUGAUAAGAUCCGUAGUCGAAAGGGAAACAGCCCAGACCAUCAGCUAAGGUCCCCAAGUGUAUGUUAAGUGGAAAAGGAUG
rnacentral:rRNA from 1 species